CUGGUAACCUGGUGAUUAUGAGGAAUAAUCAUGGCAUACCAACACUGAAGGUGAAUUGUGAAAACUGUUCGACAGGUGUCCUCAACCCGCAGGCCACACAGCAGGAGGUGAGUGGCAGGUCUUAUUUAAACGGUUCAUCCAUGCAGGAGGGGCAAUGCAUUUUCCCAAGUCUCAUGGAAGGGUUUCACAGCUUAGAGCUCAGCCUCAGAGUGGACUAGCACACAGCUGUUUCGGAGACUGGAGGAUAGCCUGCUGGGAUAGAGGUUUCCCUGGAAGAUACAGAGCUGGUAAGGCUAUCAAGGUAAAUUGGGCACAAAUGGUGGAGUCCAUGGAGUUCAGAAAGGUUUUCAGGCAACAGGGAGAUUUUGGAGUUUUUUGUUGUGUUUGUUUUGUUUUGGAACAGAGAAGUAACAGAAUCAGAUCUGUGCUCCUUGAUAAAAUGUAAAGAAUGAAUUUGAAGACCAGAGAUUGAAG
rnacentral:lncRNA from 1 species